rnacentral:rRNA from 1 species
CAGCACCUCAAGUGGUCAGGAUGAUUAUUGGGCCUAAAGCAUCCGUAGCCUGCUUUGUAAGUUUUCGGUUAAAUCCAUACGCUCAACGUAUGGGCUGCCGGGAAUACUGCAGCGCUAGGGAGUGGGAGAGGUAGACGGUACUCGGUAGGAAGGGGUAAAAUCCUUUGAUCUAUUGAUGAACACCUGUGGCGAAGGCGGUCUACCAGAACACGUCCGACGGUGAGGGAUGAAAGCUGGGGGAGCAAACCGGAUUAGAGACCCGAGUAGUCC